rnacentral:rRNA from 1 species
AACGAACGCUGGCGGCAUGCCUAACACAUGCAAGUCGAGCGCGCCUUCGGGUGAUCGGCGGACGGGUGAGUAUCGCGUGGGGAUAUGCGCUUCUCUACGGAAUAUUCCUGGGAGACUGGGGGUAAUACCGUAUACGCCCUUUGGGGGAAAGAUUUAUCGGGGAAGGAUUAGCCCGCGUUGGAUUAGGUAGUUGGUGGGGUAAUGGCCUACCAAGGCGACGAUCCAUAGCUGGUUUGAGAGGAUGAUCAGCCACACUGGGACUGAGACACGGCCCAGACUCCUACGGGAGGCAGCAGUGGGGAAUAUUAGACAAUGGGGGAAACCCUGAUCUAGCCAUGCCGCGUGAGUGAUGAAGGCCUUAGGGUUGUAAAGCUCUUUCAGCUGGGAAGAUAAUGACGGUACCAGCAGAAGAAGCCCCGGCUAACUCCGUG